UAGGUGGCAGACAUCGGAAGACUGGGCGUAAGCGCACGCAGGCGGUUGGAUAAGUUACAUGUGAAAGCCCCGGGCUCAACCUGGGAAUUGCAUUUAAAACUGUCCAGCUAGAGUCUUGUAGAGGGGGGUAGAAUUCCAGGUGUAGCGGUGAAAUGCUUAGACAUCUGGAGGAAUACCGGUGGAGAAGGCGCCCCCCGGGACAAAUACUGACGCUCAAGUGCGAACCCGUGGGGAGCAAACAGGAGUAGAUACCCUGGAAGUCCCCCCCGUAAACUAUGUCGAUUUGGAGGUUGUGUCCUUGAGACGUGGAUUCCGGAGCUAACGCGUUGAUCGACCGCCUGGGGAGUACGGCCGCAAGGUUAAAACUCAAAUGAAUUGACGGGGGCCCGCACAAGCGAGGAACCCCCUGUUUAAUUCGAUGCAACACGAAAUAACCUUACCUGGCCUUGACAUGUCUGGAAUCCUGUCAGAUGCGGGAGUGCCUUCGGGAAUCAGAACAUAGGUGCUGCAUGGCUGUCCCACCUCGUGUCUUGAAAUGUUGGGUUAAGUCCCCCAACCAUCGCACCCCCUGUCCUUUGUUGCCCCUUUCGAGAA
rnacentral:rRNA from 1 species